GUUAAUAUAGCUUUGCAUAUUUCCUUUUGAAUACUCUAAAUUCAGUUGGGUGCUUUGAAUACAUGUUAACUAGUAUAUAGUGUUAGUUAAUGAGUCAUUACUCUCAGAAUUCUAACUCAAUUUUCUGAUUAAUAGUCCAGGUUUGGUCAGGUUUUGGUUAUAGCUGAUAGUUAGCUAGUAGUUGAUUUUAAGAAUUAGAUUCGUAAAAUAGUAAUUCUAGCACAUUAAAAGGGUAAUAUAGGGUUUUAGCUGGUUCUAGUAAUUUUAAGAUUAAAACAAGGGUAGUAUAGGUAUCCCUUAAAUAAAAGAUAAUUCAAG
rnacentral:lncRNA from 1 species